CGUAGGGUGCGAGCGUUAAUCGGAAUUACUGGGCGUAAAGCGUGCGCAGGCGGUAAGUUAAGUCUGAUGUGAAAGCCCCGGGCUCAACCUGGGAAUGGCAUUGGAAACUGGCUUGCUGGAGUGUGGCAGAGGGGGUGGAAUUCCGCGUGUAGCAGUGAAAUGCGUAGAGAUGCGGAGGAACACCGAUGGCGAAGGCAGCCCCCUGGGCCAACACUGACGCUCAGGCACGAAAGCGUGGGGAGCAAACAGGAUUAGAUACCCUGGUAGUCCACGCCCUAAACGAUGUCAACUGGGUGUUGGGGAAGCGAUUCCUUGGUACCGUAGCUAACGCGUGAAGUUGACCGCCUGGGGAGUACGGCCGCAAGGUU
rnacentral:rRNA from 1 species